rnacentral:misc_RNA from 1 species
AACUUUGCCAUCUUUCGAGCUGCACUGAUGGAAUACUGAUUUUCCAGCCUUGGAUCCAUGAGCAUACCGAAUUUCUUGCCAUCAGCAGGGUAACGUUUAAUCCAAUCCAGAAGUUUAUGUUCUGAUUUUGGUCUGUUCCUUUCUAGGGACCGUCGACCGGUUAGGAUCUCAUAUAAUACAACACCAAAACUCCACACAUCACUCUUAGCUGUGAGAUGUCCUGUUUCUAUGUAAUCAGGUGCUGCAUACCCCCAUGUCCCCACAACCGCUGUGGAAACAUGUGUGUGCAUGCCAGUUGGACCCUCUCUCGCGAGCCCAAAGUCUGAAAGCUUUGGCUUGAAGUCAUCAUCUAAUAGCACAUUUGAUGACUUGAAAUCACGAUAUAUCACCUGAACUUCCAAUUCUUCAUGCAA